rnacentral:lncRNA from 1 species
UCAUCAACAGGUGGUUUACCCCAACCUCCCGGCUGAUAGCCAAACUUGGCUCCUGGUGGAAUAGGAGCAUUGAGUCCAGGGAUUUUCAGCUGAGGAUAAGAGGGUGGAGGACCGUAUCUCUGCACAGAAAAUUGGAGGUUUAAAAUCACAUCAGCAAUGGAACUCAUUCUAGUAAUAAAACAAAACACGGGGAACAAAAUGAUCUCUUCCACUAAAAACAAGUAGUUUUAAGGGUUUAUCUUUUGUUGAAAGUAGCAAAUAGUUUUAAGUUAGCUAACCUGCAUAUUGAUGAGCCAAGGAGGAGGAGAACCUUCAGGCAUACCAAGGGCCUCUUUCAGUUCAUGAGACAACAUUCCAGGUUUCAUUUCCCUCAACUUGACCUGCACAUCAAAAUCAAAUGAUGGUUAACAGACAAAAGAGCAUAGGAAUAUGGAAAGAAUUA